UACGUAGGGUGCAAGCGUUAAUCGGAAUUACUGGGCGUAAAGCGUGCGCAGGCGGUUUUUUAAGCUUGAUGUGAAAUCCCCGGGCUCAACCUGGGAACUGCAUUGAGGACUGGAAGGCUAGAGUAUGGCAGAGGGGGGUGGAAUUCCACGUGUAGCAGUGAAAUGCGUAGAGAUGUGGAGGAACACCGAUGGCGAAGGCAGCCCCCUGGGUUAACACUGACGCUCAGGCACGAAAGCGUGGGGAGCAAACAGG
rnacentral:rRNA from 1 species